UUAUUCUUUAUCUUUCGCCAAAAUAAUAUGAUAAAUUAUUUAGAAUUAUCUAUGUUGUCAAUUUGAUUUUAUUCAUAUUUGUAUUUUUUAAAAAUUUAAAUAGUAAGAAUAAAAUUAUUUAAUGUUUUUUUACCAGCGAUUCAGUAAGUCAUUUAUUUUUAUUUUAAAAUCAUUUUUAAAAAAAAAACUCCUUUAACCAUUGGUGGAGUACCACUUGAUUUUUAUUUUCAUUUUUCUUUUUCUUUUUUCUUUUUUUUUCUCUCUCCACUUCUUUUCCUUUCUUUCUUUUAUUUUUUCUCUCUCCGCUCUUUCCUUCUUUUCUCUCUCCACAUUUUCUUCUUUUUCCUCUCACUCUCAGGAUUCUCUUUUUCUUCUUUCUCUCUUUCCCUCUCUCUUUCCUCUUUUCUUUCUACCUUUUCUUCACACCCACACUUACACAAAAAUAUCUAGCAUAAAAUAUAUUAAAUGUCUUUCAUCAAAAACUCACUCUUUCUCUACUAUUCCUAAACCGUCUAACACAUAAUAUCUCUUCCAAAUCUCAUUUCAUCACCACAAAAAGAAGUUUU
rnacentral:lncRNA from 1 species